rnacentral:piRNA from 5 species
GGUUAGCACUCUGGACUUUGAAUCCAGCG